UACGGAGGGUGCAAGCAUUAAUCGGAAUUACUGGGCGUAAAGGGCGCGUAGGCGGAUAGAAAAGUUGGGUGUGAAAUUCCGGGGCUUACCUUCGGAGCGGCAUCCAAAACUCUCUAACUUGAGGGCAGGCGGAGAAAACGGAAUUCCACGUGUAGCGGUGAAAUGCGUAGAUAUGUGGAAGAACACCGGUGGCGAAAGCGGUUUUCUAGCUUGCAACUGACGCUGAGGCGCGAGAGCAAGGGGAGCAAACAGGAUUAGAAACCCGAGUAGU
rnacentral:rRNA from 1 species